rnacentral:lncRNA from 1 species
AUUAUUGAACACUUUAAAAUUGAAAUCGGUUCUUCUUCAUGAGAUUGAGCGCUAAUGAAUGGGCAUAUAGCAACAAAAUGGCGCGCGCAGACCAAUCACAACGCUUCAUUCGAACAAACAAUCUGGCCAGAAGUUGAAAAAGUCAUCUUAAUGAAUUGAAAAAUAUUUGACCGUGAAUUCUUGUUAUUUAACACCGGUAAGUUAAAUUGCCGAUUGUGGGCGGACGAUAAUACAUUUUACGAUUGUUUAUUUACUGUGUAUCACAUUUUUUCGCUAAUUAAACAUGGCUGUUGUCGAAAAUACCAACUGGCUGUCAAUGUUAAUGGAAGUUUUUUCUUGCCAACCGGUUUUUAUUGCCACAUUAAGGCCAUUUUGCCAAAGUUCUCUCUCUGGUGGCUGGUCACUAACUGGCGCCGUUUUCGAAUAAAUUCACUUUGAAUGUUUAGCAGCAGACGGCCAUGAAAACAAAUGCCCCAUUUGUCUAAUGUUUCAGUGCUGCCGAUCCGGGUGGGUGUAAAAGUUGCUUUUUACGCCGACGAUCUUUCCCAGAAUGCCAUUUUUGCUUUGCGCAUUAUAUGUAUGUAUAAAGUUUUGAUCACGCCCCGUAACACAACUAGAGUUUCGCAUUGAACCGACUGCGCCCUGCCACUAUGCAUAAGAGCGAGAGCAACAGAGCAGUUACCAUGGAAACCAGUCACUAUUUUCCCUGCUUGCCUGAUAUACCACGGCCGAUCACAAACUUUUAGAGAUACUUCUAAAGUACUCAUCGAAACUGUGAUCUGUUAGAAUUCGUCCUUUCUCGUAGAAUGGUGUAAAAACGCUAAUAAAGUACAAAUUAGCACA